ACCGGGUGUGGUGGUGCAUGCCUGUAGUCCCAGCUACUUGGGAGGCUGAGGCAGGAGGAUCUCUUGAGCCCAGGAGGUUGAGGCUGCAGUGAGCCAUGAUGGUAUCACUGCACUCCUGCCUGGGUGAUGGAGUGAGACCUUGUCUCAA
rfam:Homo sapiens chromosome 10, GRCh38 reference primary assembly.